ACUUAUUAGAUGAAACUAAUUUGAACAUAUGCAAUGUAGGUAACAACAAUUAAUAUAUGGCAACUUAAUACACGAUGCCUUAUAGAACAUUUAAUUAUUUGUCUGAUAUUCUGUAUGAUAGAAAUGAUUCUUUUUAAAAUAAUUCGUAUUAUUCUAUUUCGUAUUAUUUUUAAUGGAUUUGGUUUUGUUAUCGUAGGCACCUCCCCAAACAGUCUUACUAUAGUUACUAUAAAUUCUACUAGAGCUUGGUAUACAAUUUUAGUUUUCUUAAUUUUAAGUAAAUUAUCUAGAUUUUUGAAAGCAUAGGCCAUUUUCCAUAGUUUUGUUAUUAUCUCAUUAAUGUGGUCAUGCCAUUUAAGGUUACGGCACAUUUCAAUACCUUAGGUAUUUACGAAAUCGUACUAUUUUUAACGAUGUUUUACAUGUACAAAUUUUUGGAUUUGAACAUUCGCGUU